UACGUAGGGUGCAAGCGUUAUCCGGAAUUAUUGGGCGUAAAGAGCUUGUAGGCGGUUUUUCGCGUCUGCCGUGAAAGUCCGGGGCUCAACUCCGGAUCUGCGGUGGGUACGGGCAGACUAGAGUGAUGUAGGGGAGACUGGAAUUCCUGGUGUAGCGGUGAAAUGCGCAGAUAUCAGGAAGAACACCCGUGGCUAAGGCGGCUCUCUAGUACGGUACUGACGCUGAGACGCGAAAGCGUGGGGAGCGAACAGG
rnacentral:rRNA from 1 species